UUAUAGAGGCUUUUCUACCGUGACGUUUAAUAUGUUUCGGUUAGUUCAGUUUAGACUAAGUAGCUUAAUAUAUGAAGGAUGUAUUUUUGUGAGUUUGGAGGAUUAAUGUAUGUGUUUAAGCGAUAAAUUGGUUUGAUGUAGCUGUUAACAUGACUUAGCUCUAAUCAGUUUGGUUAAUAUAAACAUGGUUAUGAACUAAAUGCUUAAAAUUCCAAAGCAUUCACUACCUAAGCAUGGUUUUACAAAUACCCAUCUUCAGCUUUACUGUGGUAACUAGUUAAACUCAUGGAUUAGCAGUUCCUGAUUUAGUUCAAGUGUUGUUGGGUUCAUUUUCCAUUCUGCAAAUUCUAUCUAGUGGUUAUGAUGCAGUGUUAGUUGCAAUAUUGUUUGACUUAAUGUGAAGGUUUUGCCAAUUGUAUAAAGAAUGGAAGUUAUGGUCUGGCUGCUUUAACUAGGCUAGAAACACAUGAAUGUUUCUUCAGCAUCUUUAUUAACAUAUUAGUUUCAUGUUUUCUCUAAAAGAGUUGGGCCUGAAAUUUUUUGACUGUUUACCUAAGUUGUUAGCCCUUAAACCAGUUAGCAUGUUUUAUGUAGAAGCAAGUCUAUUUUUCCUCCUUUGCUAAUCUGCCUUAUUUUGCAUUAAUAUGAGAAGUAAACAGGAGAAGUAUUUAGCUAGGUAUUGUCUCCUUCAAGCUGAUGAAGUUCUUCUCUUGUGUGGGUUCAGAUUUAGACUGUCAAAAUACAACCCUUUGUUGACUCUAUUUUGUUAAACACUAAAUACAAAUAGCAUGCUUUGCCUCCUUACUUUCAAAACCAAGCCUUCUGUCAUAUUUGGAAGUUUAAAAAAUGAAUAUCUUCUCAGAUGUCCAGCUAUGCCUUCAAAUUCAAUCCUUGUUUGUGUUCUUCAUGUCUAAAGCAUCUCUAAAGAAUCAGAUUUUGUUAAUCUAAGUAGGAAUUGGCUCAGAUUCUCUCAGUUUUCCUCUCUGUUUGGGUGAGUGUUUUAUAACCUCAUGCUAUUUUCCAGGUGUUUUCUUACAUCCCAAUUAAAUGAUUUCAAAAAAAAAAAUGUAAUUGUUGUCCCUUUCAAGCGAUUGAGCUUAUGCUCAAGUGUUGAUCUUAAACUUGCUUGAUUG